GGAGUUAGCCGGUGCUUCUUCUGUGAGUGAUGUCCUUCCUGCCGGCUAUUAACCCGCAGGCCUUCUUCCUCACUGAAAGUGCUUUACAACCCGAAGGCCUUCUUCACACACGCGGCAUGGCUGGAUCAGGGUUGCCCCCAUUGUCCAAUAUUCCCCACUGCUGCCUCCCGUAGGAGUCUGGGCCGUGUCUCAGUCCCAGUGUGGCUGAUCAUCCUCUCAGACCAGCUACGGAUCGUCGCCUUGGUGAGCCGUUACCUCACCAACCAGCUAAUCCGACAUAGGCUCAUCCGAUAGCGCGAGGCCCGAAGGUCACCCGCUUUCCCCCGUAGGGCGUAUGCGGUAUUAGCCUGGGUUUCCCCAGGUUAUCCCCCACUACCGGGCAGAUUCCUAUGCAUUACUCACCCGUCCGCCGCUCGCCACCAGGGAGCAAGCUCCCCGUGCUGCCGCUCGACUUGCAUGUGUUAGGCCUGCCGCCAGCGUUCAAUCUGAACCACGAGUACACUACUGACUACGUAGCGGGCGUCGGUCGACGGACGGCGACUAG
rnacentral:rRNA from 1 species